AUUGAACGCUGGCGGCAGGCCUAACACAUGCAAGUCGAACGAGUGGCGGACGGGUGAGUAAUGUCUGGGAAACUGCCUGAUGGAGGGGGAUAACUACUGGAACCGGUAGCUAAUACCGCAUACCAUCAGAUCUGCCCAGAUGGGAUGAGCUAGUGGGUGGGGUAACGGCUCACCAAGGCGACGAACCCUAGCUGGUCUGAGAGGAUGACCAGCCACACGGGAGCUGAGACACGGUCCAGACUCCUACGGGAGGCAGCAGUGGGGAAUAUUGCACAAUGGGCGCAAGCCUGAUGCAGCCACGCCGCGGGGAUGAAGAAGGCCUGAGGGUUGUAAAGUACUUUAAGCGGGGAGGCGUUAACCGAAGAAGAAGCACCGGAUAACUCCGUGCCAGCCGCCGCGGUAAUAC
rnacentral:rRNA from 1 species